ensembl:snoRNA SNORD58 Small nucleolar RNA SNORD58
CUGCGAUGAUGGCAUUUCUUAGGACACCUUUGGAUUAAUAAUGAAAACAACUACUCUCUGAGCAGC